UGAGUGGGUGUGUGUGCUUCUUACAAGUGUUAUCCUGCAGCGUCUGUUAUGCUUUAUAUGUAAUUAGAAAUAAUUAGUGUAUGUGCGUUCCUCUAAGUUAUAUGAUAUAAUAAAAGUUCUAAUUGCAAAAACUUAGUUUUUACAAGUAAAUAUUAAUAAUAUGUUUUGUUGUUGUUGUUCACUUUCCAUAAUAUAAAUAGAAGUAGAAAAAAUUCAUUUAGUCGAUGUUAUU